GAUGAGCCUUUGAACUACCUUGCACCCUACCUUUUUGGCCAAAGCCCCUGGGCCCAGAUACCCUCAAGAAUCUACUGAAUUUUCUGGACCUUCUGCUAUUGGCAAUUGAGAGCACAGUCACACCAAGGAAUGGUCAGGUCAGGCAGCUGCACCUGUGGACACUUGCC
rnacentral:lncRNA from 1 species